GAACAAUGUAGGCAAGGGAA
rnacentral:snRNA from 1 species